rnacentral:rRNA from 1 species
UACGGGGGGGGCAAGCGGUUGUUCGGAAUUACUGGGCGUAAAGGGCUACGUAGGCGGCCAACUGAAGUCCGCACGUGAAAAUCCCCAGGACCUUUAAACCUGGGGAACUGCGUCGGAUACUGGAUGGCUUGAAUCCGGGAGAGGGAUGCGGAAUUCCAGGUGUAGCGGUGAAAUGCGUAGAUAUCUGGAGGAACACCGGUGGCGAAGGCGGCAUCCUGGACCGGCAUUGACGCUGAGGCGCGAAAGCCAGGGGAGCAAACGGGG